rnacentral:tRNA from 1 species
GUGGGUAUAGCUCAGUGGUAGAGUAUGUGCUCAGCAUGCACGAGGUCCUGGGUUCAAUCCCUAGUACCUCUA